rnacentral:rRNA from 1 species
AUCUACAGCCAUACCACCUGAAAGAGCCCCAUCAUAUCUGGUCUUGGAAGCUAAGCAGGGUCCAGCCUGGUUAGUACUUAAAUGGGAGACCACCUGGGAAUACCAGGUGCUGUGGACA